rnacentral:lncRNA from 1 species
CAGCCUGGUCCCCGCCGGGCCGCCUUUGUUCCCGCUGACAGCUGGGCUGCUAGACCUCCCGCCGUUGACCUGGGAGGGGAACCAAGCUUACACACUACGGUUGGAUAAAGGGUCAGUUAAGUGGGGUGCCAGGUGGUGCACGAGGCUGUGGUCCUGAGGGUGCUCGGAAGCGAAUCUGAUAAAACCAGGCGUAGCUCCGCCCAGAGAGUGCCGGCCUCAGCCUAAAGAGUUCCACACUGCUUCCUCACCUUCGCCAAGCCACUUCCACCUCCUGUGCCCUGGCCUUCAUUCAAGCCGGAAUGGGCUGAGGAACAUCAUACAGACAAAGAAGUUGGCAUGACCUUUGUCAGUUUUGAGGGAGACCUUUGGCAAGCGGUCUCUGUCAAGCUCACAUUUGUUUGUAGCCCUAAACUCGUUUAAACGAAUAGAGCAGGAAUCUGCUCCAGGAAUCUGAGACGAAAGGAAGGUCUGAUGCUGUCUCCCUAAGAGCUGGUCACCGGGAACGACAGCGAAGAAGGACUGUUGCAGCAGCCUCGUGAGCGUUCCCCCCAUGGGCUCUUGGUAGACGCUGACCAUUUGGCUGCAGGUCCAGUUGAGGCACCGAGCACAGGAGCAGCAGUUGGCUGAGCUUCCUGAAACUCUUGACCUGAAGUCCAUUCAGCACAGUAUAGUGGAAAAGAACGGCGUUCUGCGUGUGUACACCGGAGCUGCAGACCUGGAAUCUUCCAGUGCCAUCUGAAGACUGCAGUUCAUGGGCAGCUCUGACAUUCACCAGCUACAUGACCAUGGAUGUCAUGUAACCUGGGCUGACUUUCUGUAAAGCGGACAGCGCCCCAUCUGCCAGACCUCAGAUCUCACUGCAUCAUCACCAGGACCCAGCCAGGUGACAGCAGGAAAGUGCUUUUAAACUAACUUGAAGGCUGCCGUUUGAAAUGGCACUGGAUCAAGUGUUCAUUGGCCACCACCUACUUCCGACAUGGAACACAACUGCUCGUCCAGUUGCAAGCACAGAAUGAAG